UGUAAGCCGCCCAUAAACGAACUCGGACUCAACUCAACGAGCUCGGGUGUUCACAUCCAUAAGUGAACUCGGACUCAACUCAACGAGCUCGAAUGCCUAGUUACAUCUCACGAACUCGGACUCAACUCAACGAGUUCGGAACUCAACCAUCCUAGUGACAUGUCACUUGUACCCUAAUCUAUUCUCAAGGUUCAAACGGGAUUCUUCUCAAUUACACAUUUUGAUCACCUUCUUCGAAAUAUAGAAACCGAUAUUUGCUAGCAUCUCAUACUUAUCAAGUUGUUCAUAUAAUUUUCAUAUUAUCAAACAAUAAUUCACAAAGCAUAAUAUUUCAUGGUAAUAAAUAUCAUAUCAUAUAAAUAACAUUAAAUCACUUAAAAUAAAAAUUAUGUUACUUUAUUUACACAUGAACUUACCUCGAUACAAAAUUUUAGCAAUCGAGCCUAUUCCUCGUAAACUUUGUUUUUCCCUCGAUCACGACUUGAAUCUUGUUUCUCUUGAUCUAUAAUACCAAAUUAAUUUAUUUAAUACAUACAUUCAUCAAAACAGCCCCUAGUAUGAACUUUGGCAAAAUUACCAUUUUGCCCCUAAACUUCACAUAUUUACACUUUUACCCCAAGGCUCGUAAAUUAAACCUCAUCCUAUUUUCUUAUGUUUUAUGACAUGCUGAUCAUUUUUGAUAAGAGUGCGCCCAGCGAACCUCUUCGAACAAGUCUCCCUAGUCGAGUUGUGACAUGUUGGCAAGCUGAUCCCAGCUCGUUUCCAGCUCCACGAGCUCUAUCCAGCUCAAAUCCAGCUCAUUCGAGCGCAAUCUAGUUGCCUGAGCUAAACCGAGCUUACUCCUAGCUCAUUUUCAACUCACGAGCUAAACCUUAGCUCAACUUCAGCUUAGGAGUUUAACCUCAGCUCAACUUUAGCUCAAGGGCUAAAGCUUUUCUCAUUUUAGCUCAAACCCGAUUUUUGACUUUAAUUGAUUAAAUAAAAUUUGAAUAUAUUUAUUUAAGCAUUAAAUUUGUUUUAUAUUAAUAUUUGUUAUUAAUAUGUCAUAGAUAUCACAUAUCUUAAAUGUGUUCACAUUGUGCUGAAAUUAUGUGUGUUCACAUGAUGUCUUAUGAAUUGUUUUAUUUCUUGUAGGUGCAAUGCUCAUGGACAGCGCAAUGAAUGCUUGAAGCAACAUCUCUUUUGGACAUCCCACAUGCAUGAAUGAACAACAUUUAAUUAGGUGCAUGCAUGACCAGAUUCAAGGUGUUUACAAGUUCAUGUAUUUGUCAAAUACAUGAAUACACAAAAUACAUGAAUGUUUGGGUUCAAAUGCACAUUUGGUUACAUGAAUGAUGAAGAUUCAUGCAUGAAUGUAUCUAGAAGAUCCAAUCCCUUUGGACGGUACACAUACAUGCAUGGAAGGAAAUUAAUGCAAGUUCAUGUAGGGCUUGGUGCAAUGUAUGAAGAGGUGCGUGUAGAAUUGAGGUUCAAUGGACGGCAUUUAAGGGAGUACAUGUAUUGGAGACGUUCAUGCAAGUAGGGGCUAUUUAAUGUUCAUGUUUUUGAAGGUUCAUGGACAGAAUUUAUGGAGGAACAUACAUUGGGACGUUUCAUGCAUGAUCCAUGCAUUUUCAAGCUAACCAUUCAAGUAUUCAAGGUGCAUUAAAGCUUCAUUCGGCCAAGGGGGAUGAUGGAACAUUAAAGGGCUGCACAUUCAUGGAUAUUCAUGAUUUUUAUUCUAGAAUUAUCUAGGUGUUUAUGGCCGAAUUUCUUAGCUUCUAAGCUUGUCCAUUCGGCUACUUUUAUUUAGGCUAUAAAUAUAUGUUAUUUCAUUUGUAAGAGGUUAGACUUUUCACUUAAUGAAACUUUGUUAAACUUUCAUGGAAUUUGUGAGAUUUCUUUCUCUCAUAUUUCGUUGAGGACUUCGUUGGCUUAUCUAGGAAGCCCAGUGGCAUCAACCCUAUUCGUCACUAUCCCAAACUUAUCACUAUCAAAUAGUGUGGCGUUCACCCAUAUACCGAGGUUCCUACUUUGUUAAGUAGUGGAUCAAGGUUCUAUCAUUUUCAUUUUCACCUUGAAAGCUUUCCUGCGCAGCUUAGGUGGAAGGCGAAGAAGGCCUCCUUCCGGGAGGGCCCGAGCCAUCAGUGAGAUACCACUCUGGAAGAGCUAGAAUUCUAACCUUGUGUCAGGACCUACGGGCCAAGGGACAGUCUCAGGUAGACAGUUUCUAUGGGGCGUAGGCCUCUCAAAAGGUAACGGAGGCGUGCAAAGGUUUCCUCAGGCCGGACGGAGAUUGGCCCUUGAGUGCAAAGGCAGAAGGGAGCUUGACUAUAAGACCCACCCUUCGAGCAGGGAUGAAAGUCGGCCUUAGUGAUCCGACGGUGCUGAGUGGAAGGGCCGUCGCUCAACGGAUAAAAGUUAUCUAGGGAUAACAGGCUGAUCUUCCCUACGAGCUCACAUCGACGGGAAAGUUUGGCACCUCGAUGUCGGCUCUUCGCCACCUGGGGCUGUAGUAUGUUCCAAGGGUUGGGCUGUUCACCCAUUAAAGCGGUACGUAAGCUGGGUUCAGAACGUCGUGAGACAGUUUAGUCCAUAUCUGGUGUGGGCGUUAGAGCAUUGAGAGGACCUUUCCCUAGUACGAAAGGACUGGGAAGGACCCACCUCUGGUGUACCAGUUAUCGUGCCCACGGUAAACACUGGGUAGCCAAGUGCGGAGUGGAUAACUGCUGAAAGCAUCUAAGUAGUAAGCCCACCCCAAGAUGAGUGUUCUCCUAUUCUGACUUCCCCAGAGCCUCCGGUAGCACAGCUGAGACGGCAAGGGGUUCUCUGUCCCUGCGUGGAUUGAGUGAUAGAAGUUUUGAGAAUUCAAGAGAAGGUCACGGCUAGACGAGCCGUUUAUCAUUACGAUAGGUGUCAAGUGGAAGUGCAGUGAUGUAUGUAGCUGAGGCAUCCUAACAGACCAGUAGACUUGAAC
rnacentral:rRNA from 1 species